AUGGAUUUCUUCCACACCUAUGUGGUGUUGUGCCAUGGUCGCUCUCCCUCCUCCAGGGACUCAGCCAAGUCCGGCCUGGCCAUGCCUCCGUCCUUCCGCCUUGCCGGUUGCGUGUGUGUGCUGUCUGUGCUUGACGCUGGUGCUUGUUGGCUUGUCACUGGGUGCUUGUCGCUGCUGGCCUGCUGCUGCUUUGCUGUAUAUAUUUGUAUAAUGUUUGCAUCUUGUAUGCAGCUAUGCUUUGUUUCAUAUUGA
rnacentral:rRNA from 1 species